rnacentral:rRNA from 1 species
GGGUUGUGAGGUUAAGCGACUAAGCGUACACGGUGGAUGCCCUGGCAGUCAGAGGCGAUGAAGGACGUGCUAAUCUGCGAAAAGCGUCGGUAAGGUGAUAUGAACCGUUAUAACCGGCGAUGUCCGAAUGGGGAAACCCAGUGUGAUUCGUCACACUAUCGUUAACUGAAUACAUAGGUUAACGAGGCGAACCGGGGGAACUGAAAC